CAGUGAACACAUGUGUUUUUUGAUGACCAAAUAUCCGGAAAAUGAAAAUAAUGAAAUGUGGCUAAAGAAUAAGCAAAAUGAGACAUUCCCAGAAUGGUUCAAAGAAAAGAUUGCUUCAAAUUUUCUCGACGAAAUGGAGAUAUCACAAGAAAUCAGAUGGAUCGCAGAUGGGCCCAAUAA